GAUGAACGCUGGCGGCGUGCCUAAUACAUGCAAGUCGAGCGAACAGACGAGGAGCUUGCUCCUCUGACGUUAGCGGCGGACGGGUGAGUAACACGUGGAUAACCUACCUAUAAGACUGGGAUAACUUCGGGAAACCGGAGCUAAUACCGGAUAAUAUAUUGAACCGCAUGGCUCAAUAGUGAAAGACGGUUUUGCUGUCACUUAUAGAUGGAUCCGCGCCGCAUUAGCUAGUUGGUAAGGUAACGGCUUACCAAGGCGACGAUGCGUAGCCGACCCGAGAGGGUGAUCGGCCACACUGGAACUGAGACACGGUCCAGACUCCUACGGGAGGCAGCAGUAGGGAAUCUUCCGCAAUGGGCGAAAGCCUGACGGAGCAACGCCGCGUGAGUGAUGAAGGUCUUCGGAUCGUAAAACUCUGUUAUUAGGGAAGAACAAAUGUGUAAGUAACUAUGCACGUCUUGACGGUACCUAAUCAGAAAGCCACGGCUAACUACGUG
rnacentral:rRNA from 1 species